ensembl:lncRNA
UUUCAGACUUGAUAGCCUGGAUCUCAGCCUCCAGCUGAGUUUUUAUGACUGCUGCUCACACAAAACAGGAGCUGGACCCUGUGGGGGGCUGGGCUGGGGAGGUCCUGUGCUGCGGAUACACAGGCUGACUGCUCUGUCACUUGGAAGGUGGCUUCUGAUAGGGACAGGAAUCUAAAAAAAAGGUGCACAGUGAGGGGUCCUGACUGACAAAUUGACAACUGGGGGAUACUUCUGAUGUAUUUUCUCAGAAAGAAAUGUUUGAAAUAUUUAAGAAAAAGAACAUGAGAAAGUGCCCCAAACCCAAGGGCCACACUACUUGUACCCAGUGUGCUUUCCUGACCAGGACAUAGAGGAGAAAAGGACGUAGUCACCUGGUCUAAAUCAUUUGGGAGAGUCCCUGGUAUCUUCUUUUACCAUCUGAGCCACCAGAGAAGUCCCUAAAAGUAGCAGUGGUGAAGGGAAUGGCUACCCACUCCAGUAACCCUUGCCUGGAGAAUUCCAUCGACAGAGGAGCCUGGUGGGCUACAAUCCAUGUGGUCGCAGAGUCAGACACAACUGAGUGAGUAACGGUUUCACCUGUAUCUUCACUCCAAGGUGUACAGCUCUUACCCAUGGAGAAGAACCCUGACUCCAGGCUCACCUUACUAAAUAUGGAAGGGUGGAAAUAGAGAAUGAAAAUAUGGCUGUGCCAUUUGUGUCCUUCUAUGUUCACAGAAGUGUGCAUUGCACACUUGCAGAUGUGAUGACUGGAAAAAGUGACUAUUCAGAGCCUUGUACUAUCAGCAAUUAUCCUGUACAAAAGCGAUGAGUAGAAUCUAUCAUUCUGUUGUUCUAAAAUCGAUCUCUCUUUCUCUGCAAUGAAGUCUUUCACUCUGGAUAAUAAAAUGAGGUAGUCUCCUUCAGUUAUGUGGCCAAAAAAGCCACUUCUUUACAAAGUCCCAGGCAUUUCUAACACUGCAGAGGUGAUUAUUCCCUGCUUUGUUACAGGGCAUUAUAGUCUCCAAAAUAAUUUCAUUCUCAGUCUGUUAUUUAAGCUUCAUACCAAUCCUAGGAGGAAGGCAGGGUGAGGGUUACCCUCCUCCUUUUCAUCAGAUACUAAACCCUCCAAAGCCUCAGUAACCUGUCUGAGGGCGCCCGACUCGUGAGUGGAGCCUGGAGCUGGCUUCAGACACGGGACUCCUGCCGUGAAGUCCCUGCGGCGUCACUCCUCCGUGUUGUUCUCCCUGGGAUGUUCAUAGCAUCAACAGACAAGAAGGCAAGCAAGGCAACUAUCCAAUGGAUUGUCAUCAUAAAUAUGAUUUCCUCCAGAAAGAGUUUUUAGUUUUCCUAGAAGUUCUUUUGGAGCUAACCAUCAAUCACAGAAAAGGUCAGCUCCCACGGCUGAGAGAGUAAAAUAAAACCAGAGCUCUGAGAGCCGAUGUCAUGAGAGCAGAUAGAGCUCUGGUUUCUGCCUUCUGUCUCCAGAAGCAGAAGCCUGUAUCCCUGCUUGAACUUUGCUCCUCCUCUGCUUUGUACAGUUUCUGUAAAAGGGUCAUAUGAAUUCUCUCUUGGCUGUGUACUGUGCUCACUUUUUUAUGUGAAAGAAAAAAAAAAAACCCUUGAAAGUUGCUGCCACACAACAUUGUCUGUCCUUUGAUUUCUUUAGACUUGUUAAUAUGACCCUUUGAACUUUAUCAGCAAAAUGACUUUCUUCAGAAUUGAAC